rnacentral:rRNA from 1 species
UGCAAGUCGAACGGUAACAUUGGUGCUUGCACCAGAUGACGAGUGGCGCACGGGUGCGUAACGCGUAUGCAAUCUACCUUUUACUGAAGAAUAGCCCAGAGAAAUUUGGAAUAAUCCUUCAUAACAUCAUUUAUCAGCAUUGAUUUAUGAUUAAAGCUCCGGCGGUAAAAGAUGAGCAUGCGUCCUAUUAGUUUGUUGGUGAGGUAACGGCUCACCAAGACUACGAUAGGUAGGGGCCCUGAGAGGGGGAUCCCCCACACUGGUACUGAGACACGGACCAGACUCCUACGGGAGGCAGCAGUGAGGAAUAUUGGACAAUGGAGGCAACUCUGAUCCAGCCAUGCCGCGUGCAGGAUGACUGCCCUAUGGGUUGUAAACUGCUUUUAUAUAGGAAGAGACACUCCCACGUGUGGGGGCUUGACGGUACUAUAUGAAUAAGGAUCGGCUAACUCCGUGCCAGCAGCCGCGGUAAUACGGAGGAUCCAAGCGUUAUCCGGAAUCAUUGGGUUUAAAGGGUCCGCAGGCGGCCUGUUAAGUCAGAGGUGAAAGCCAACAGCUCAACUGUUGAACUGCCUUUGAUACUGAUAGGCUAGAGUUAUUGUGAAGUGGUUAGAAUGUGUGGUGUAGCGGUGAAAUGCUCAGAUAUCACACAGAAUACCCAUUGCGAAGGCAGAUCACUAACAAUAUACUGACGCUCAUGGACGAAAGCGUGGGGAGCGAACGGGAUUAGAUACCCCGGUAGUCCACGCCGUAAACGAUGGAUACUAACUGUUCGACCUUCGGGUUGAGUGGUCAAGCGAAAGUGAUAAGUAU